rnacentral:rRNA from 1 species
AUUGAACGCUGGCGGCAUGCUUUACACAUGCAAGUCGAACGGCAGCGCGGGCUUCUGCCUGGCGGCGAGUGGCGAACGGGUGAGUAAUACAUCGGAACGUGCCCAGUAGUGGGGGAUAGCUCGGCGAAAGCCGGAUUAAUACCGCAUACGACCUGAGGGUGAAAGCGGGGGAUCUUCGGACCUCGCGCUAUUGGAGCGGCCGAUGGCAGAUUAGCGAGUUGGUGGGGUAAAGGCCUACCAAGGCGACGAUCUGUAGCUGGUCUGAGAGGACGACCAGCCACACUGGGACUGAGACACGGCCCAGACUCCUACGGGAGGCAGCAGUGGGGAAUUUUGGACAAUGGGCGAAAGCCUGAUCGAGCAAUGCCGCGUGUGUGAUGAAGGCCUUCGGGUUGUAAAGCACUUUUGGCGGGAACGAAAAGGACUGUGCCAAUACCACGGUUCGAUGACGGUACCCGCAGAAUAAGCAACGGCUAACUACGUG